rnacentral:rRNA from 1 species
UACGGAGGAUGCAAGCGUUAUCCGGAAUAAUUGGGCGUAAAGCGUCCGUAGGUGGCUGUUCAAGUCUGCCGUUAAAGACCGGGGCUUAACCCUGGAAAGGCGGUGGAAACUGAGCGGCUAGAGUCCGGAAGAGGCGAGUGGAAUUCCUGGUGUAGCGGUGGAAUGCGCAGAUAUCAGGAGGAACACCGAUGGCGAAGGCAGCUCGCUGGGACGGUACUGACGCUGAGGCGCGAAAGCGUGGGGAGCGAACAGG